GGGUGCGCUCUAUGCAUGCAGUCGACGGUACUCUGAUUUCGGUUGGAGUGCAGUGGCGAACGGCUGAGUAAUACGAAGGUAACCUACCCCCCAGUGGGGAAUAUCUCCGAGAAAUCGGAGCCAAUACCGCAUGUCGUCCUCACACGCGAGUGUGAUGAUGAAAGCCUUCGGGCGCUGGAGGAUGGGCCUUUGUCCCAUCAGGCAGUUGGCAGGGUAACGGCCUACCAAACCUAAGACGGGUAGCUGGUCUGAGAGGAUGGUCAGCCAGACGGGGACUGAGAGACGGCCCCGACUCCUACGGGAGGCAGCAGCAAGGGAUAUUGCGCAAUGGACGAAAGUCUGACGCAGCGACGCCGCGUGAGGGAUGAAGGCCUUCGGGUCGUAAACCUCUUUUAUUGGUGAAGAGUAAGGACGGUAACCAAUGAAUAAGCCUCGGCUAACUACGUGCCAGCAGCCGCGGUAAUACGUAGGAGGCGAGCGUUAUCCGGAUUUACUGGGCGUAAAGCGCGUGUAGGCGGCUUUCUAAGUUGGCAGUGAAAGGUCCCGGCUCAACUGGGAUUUGCCUGUCAAUACUGGAGAGCUUGAGGGCACCAGAGGAAAGUGGAACUCGCGGUGUAGCGGUGAAAUGUGUAGAUAUCGCGAGGAACACCAGUGGCGAAGGCGGCUUUCUGGUGUGUUCCUGACGCUGAGGCGCGAAAGCGUGGGGAGCGAAGCGGAUUAGAUACCCGCGUAGUCCACGCCCUAAACGGUGGAUACUUGGUAUGGGGGGGUAUCGACCCCCUCCGUGCCGAAGCUAACGCUUUAAGUAUCCCGCCUGGGAACUACGGUCGCAAGACUAAAACUCAAAGGAAUUGACGG
rnacentral:rRNA from 1 species